rnacentral:ncRNA from 2 species
UAAUAGAUAUUAUUUGUUCACCGUAUAAUAUUGGGGAUAAGGCCCAAGAGUUUCUACCGAGCUACCGAAAAUAGCUUGACUACGAUGUGAAGGAUACGCAUG